rnacentral:lncRNA from 1 species
UUGUUGUGAAAAAUUAGUUUGGUUCGGUUUCAAAUUUUUAUUGUGAAAGGGGAGUCGGCCACGCGCUGGAACGGAAGCGCGCGCUCGCAAGUAGUUCACCCCGUGGUCACGAGCGAGCGCUGACACAGCGGUGAGGAGGAGGACAUGUCAACCAGGUGGUACCGAGACCCGAGCGGGGAUCGGAACCGAAGAGAGGAGCCCAUGGACGGGCAGGCGGGGCGGCGCAGACAGAGCGGCACCGGAAACCGAACCUCCACGGCUCGAUCUUUCUCCAAAGAUUCACUGAAGAGGAGUCUGUCGGGAUGCGAGGAUAAUUUUCCAACAGGAUCUCUGGUCCUGAAGCUGUGGAACAAAACUUAUCCUCCAACAUUAUUUUAACCGAUCUUUAGUUUCAAAGUUUGACCAAACAUCUCCUCUUUCUGGUGGAG